UUUUAAAAUAACAAUUUUUUAAAAAAAAAUUCCAAAAAUAAUAGCAGAGGAGGAGGGUUUAGAUUUGCUUAAACCCUAUUGUCUUACCAAUUCAAAUUAUCAAAAAUUUGAAGAUGAAGAUAGCUGUAGAGGGGUGUAUGCAUGGAGAUCUGGACAUCGUCUACCAAACAAUCCAACACGUGGAAAGAUUGAACGGCAUCAAAAUCGACCUUCUCCUCUGUUGCGGCGAUUUCCAGGCUGUGAGGAAUGCGAGAGACAUGGAGAGCUUAAAUGUGCCGCCGAAAUAUCGCGAGAUGAAGUCGUUCUGGAAGUACUAUUCGGGCCAAGAAGUCGCUCCGAUUCCGACCAUUUUCAUCGGCGGGAACCAUGAAGCUUCCAAUUAUUUAUGGGAACUAUAUUAUGGAGGAUGGGCAGCCCCUAAUAUAUACUUUCUGGGAUUUGCUGGGGUGGUCAAGUUUGGCAAUAUACGUAUAGGUGGCCUUUCUGGGAUAUAUAGCGCGCGAGAUUAUCAUUUAGGACACCAUGAGAGGCCUCCCUAUAAUGAGAGAACUAUAAGAUCUGUAUAUCACGUUCGUGAGUAUGAUGUCCACAAACUCAUGCAAGUUGAGGAACCCAUUGAUAUUUUUCUUUCACAUGAUUGGCCUCUUGGCAUCACUGAUUGUGGGAACUGGCAGCAACUAGUUAGACAUAAACGACAUUUUGAGAAUGAGAUUCGGGAAAGAACUCUUGGAAGUAAAGCAGCUGCUCAGCUACUGGAAAAAUUGAGGCCUCCUUAUUGGUUUUCGGCUCACUUGCACUGCAAAUUUGCUGCUGUUGUCCAACAUGGGGAAAGUGGCCCAACGACAAAAUUUCUUGCACUUGAUAAGUGUCUUCCACGGCGCAAAUUUUUGCAGAUUAUUGAUAUUGAAUCAGAGCCUGGACCUUAUGAGAUUCAAUAUGAUGAAGAAUGGCUGGCAAUAACCAGGAAGUUCAACCCUAUAUUUCCGUUAACAUUUAAAAAUGCAAAUUUUGGUGGUACACAGCUCGAGAUGCAAGAUUGUCAACAAUGGGUUAGGAGCCGGCUACAAGCUAGAGGGCCCAAACCUUUUGAAUUUGCACAGACCGUUCCUUCUUUUGAUCCCAGCCAACCUGACUCAAAUAAUUCCUACUUUGAUUAUCCUAGGAAUCCUCAAACAGAGUCUUUGUUGCAGCUUUUGGAACUUCCUUAUCUUCUUGACAGUGUAUCAGAAUCAAGAGUACCAACUCAUGGUCCCACCCCAUUAAUUCAAGGAGCUGGCAAAGCGUACUUGCAACAGCAGGAUCUGAAUUUUAGUUGUUCUCUAUUAUUGGUAUUAUUAUUAUUUAGUUUAUUUGAAUGGAAACAGGAAUUGAUCUCCUAUACUGGAAGAAGUUGGGAAUACCUGACAAAUUUCUUCAGCAUGAAAGUUCUUCUGUUGAGUAUAGUGAAGAAAUUCCCAUAGAUGAUGCGGAUGAGGUAGAAGAAUUUGCAGAAAUUGAUGAUGUGGAAACUGGAAAUGAGUAAUUUGGGAACUCGCACAAGGCUAGUAAUUCAAGGAACAGAUUGUAGCAACUGGGGCCUUAAUUGAACUGACUUGUAUUGGAUUAAAUUAUCAAUGCAGCCAGGAAAGGAGGUGAUGAUAUUGUUAUUCUAUUCUAUGAUGCUGAAUGAGAAGAAUGAGGAUUGCAGCCAUUGAGUUCUAGAUGCAAAAGGAGAUGGUUCACCAACUCAUCUGCCACAAGUGAUGGCUGAAGGAACCCAUGGGGAAGCAUGAAGUCGUGUUCAAGGUGUUGUAUUUUGCUGUCCCAUGCAAAUGAUGAUUUUGUGGUGGGCAUAGAGUAGAAACUGAAGAUAAUACUUGUUGCUCAAAUUACCAGCCCAGUAGUUCUUACUUCUUAGUCAUGUUAGUUUACUGUGCGUGUUUUUCAACUAUUAUUGAAUACCAGUGUUUCAUUGAUUAGAAUACUAUAUCUCCUGUAAGUACCAUUGAGUGUUAUAUUUAUGUGAUUCAAAAUGAUUUAUGAAAGACAGCAUCCCUUCCA